AUUGAACGCUGGCGGAAUGCUUUACACAUGCAAGUCGAACGGUAGAGGGGGCAACCCCUUGAGAGUGGCGAACGGGUGAGUAAUAUAUCGGAACGUGCCCAGUCGUGGGGAUAACGUAGCGAAAGUUACGCUAAUACCGCAUACGAUCUAAGGAUGAAAGCGGGGGAUCGCAAGACCUCGCGCGAUUGGAGCGGCCGAUAUCAGAUUAGGUAGUUGGUGGGGUAAAGGCUCACCAAGCCAACGAUCUGUAGCUGGUCUGAGAGGACGACCAGCCACACUGGAACUGAGACACGGUCCAGACUCCUACGGGAGGCAGCAGUGGGGAAUUUUGGACAAUGGACGCAAGUCUGAUCCAGCCAUUCCGCGUGCAGGAUGAAGGCCCUCGGGUUGUAAACUGCUUUUGUACGGAACGAAAAGGUUUCUCUUAAUACGAGGAGCUCAUGACGGUACCGUAAGAACAAGCACCGGCUAACUACGUGCCAGCAGCCGCGGUAAAGUGACU
rnacentral:rRNA from 1 species